rnacentral:miRNA from 1 species
UUUCCUCAUACUCAUUCAGGAGU